rnacentral:rRNA from 1 species
CCCUUAGAUGUUCUGGGCCGCACACGCGCUACACUGAAGGAGGCAGCGUGUACUCCUGGAUCGAAAGAUUUGGGUAACCCGCGAAUCUCCUUCGUGCUAGGGAUUGAGGUUUGCAAUAAUCCUUCAUGAACGAGGAAUUCCCAGUAAGUGCAAGUCAUAAGCUUGCGCUGACUACGUCCCUGCCCUUUGUACACACCGCCCGUCGCUACUACCGAUUGAAUGAUUUAGUGAGGACUUCGGACUGGGACCGAUGCGGCUUUCGGGCUGCGUCGGUAUUCUGGAAAGAUGUCCAAACUGUAUCAUUUAGAGGAAGUAAAAGUCGUAACA